UACGAAGGGGGCUAGCGUUGUUCGGAAUUACUGGGCGUAAAGGGCGCGUAGGCGGCUCUGAUCGUCGGAUGUGAAAGGCCUGGGCUCAACCUGGGAAUGGCAUCCGAUACGGCGGGGCUGGAGUGUGGGAGAGGUUGGUGGAAUUCCCAGUGUAGAGGUGAAAUUCGUAGAUAUUGGGAAGAACACCGGUGGCGAAGGCGGGUCUCUGGGCCGAUCUGACGCUGAGAGCGAAAGCGUGGGGAGCAAACAGGG
rnacentral:rRNA from 1 species